AUAGCCUAACGGCUGAACCAGCAACUUGGAGGAAUGUAUAGCAAUAGCUAUUUGCACUAAAGAUUUUAGUGUAAAAUCGACUUUGUCGAAUAAAAUUCUGGAUAGAAUUAUGAUAAUGACAUUAUCUGUCCAUAAGUCUUGACCAAAUUACGUGCCAGCAGUCGCGGUAAUACGUAGAAGACAAGUGUUAUUCAUCUUUAAUAGGUUUAAAGGGUACUUAGACGGUAAAUAAAGCCUCCAAAAGGUACUAGUUUGCUAGAGUUUUAUGUGAAGGAGUUUUAAAGUACUACUGGUGUAGAGAUGAAAUUCAGUUAUACCUUACAUGGCACAGGUUAAGGCGAAAGCAUCUUCUUAUGUAAAAACUGACGUUGAAGGACGAAGGCUUUGUGUCUCGAACAGGAUUAGAUACCCUAGUAGUCUAAGCAGAAAAUGAUGAAUGUCAUAGAUUAGAUUUAAUUUGAUCUGUAAAUGAAAGUGUAAGCAUUCCACCUCAAGAGUAAUUUGGCAACAUUGGAACUGAAAUCAUUAGACCGUUUCUGAAACCAGUAGUGAAGUAUGUUGUUUAAUUUGAUAAUCCGCAAAAAACCUUACCACAAUUUGAAUAGAUAUAUUUUAUCAUACAAGCGUUGCACGGCUGUCUUCAGUUAAUGUCGUGAGACUUUGGUUAGUUCCAUUAAAUUAACGUAAACCCUUACUUUAUUUUUAAAAAAAGUAGUUCACCGCUAGAUUGGAUGUGAUAAUAGGAUCAAGACAAGUCAUCAUGACCUAAAUAUUGU
rnacentral:rRNA from 1 species